rnacentral:lncRNA from 1 species
UGGCAGAACAAGGGGUCUACUGCCAAAGUUAACUCCUCUGACAAUCUAGCUGGGGAGCAAUUACAGCAAGUAAGCAUAAGGGAGAAGAUAUAAAUUAUUGAGUUAUCUCUUGAAAUGAACUCCUCCUGGCUGAACAGACGUCCGACAACUGCAUCUUGUAGGCACACCACAAUGUCUUAUCACAGACCCACUGGGAAACAUGAUGCCUUCAUGAGCUAGAACUCUACUGGAUCCUAAUAGCACCACGUACUUGCUGAAUCAGUAAAUGCAGCACCACCCUCUGAUGAUCUACAGUAGUGGCAUUGCUGUGCAAGUCAGCAUGUCCUUGUUCUAGAACCCGGCAAUCCUGACACAGAAUAUGAGACGCUUGGGUUCUCCUGCUAGGACUUACGGCACCUUAACAUAACUCUCAAAGGUAUUCAACUGCUCUCCCAGUAUUGCAUCCAGAGAGCAUCAGAGGCCGUGGGCUAAUUCACACAGACAUCAUCCUUAAGCUGA